UGUGGGAGCGAGCCUGCUCGCGAAGGCGUCAGUUCAGCCGACUUGUUUAUGGCUGAUACACGGCUUUCGCGAGCAGGCUCGCUCCCACA
rnacentral:antisense_RNA from 1 species